rnacentral:rRNA from 3 species
ACGGGUGCGUAACGCGUGGGAAUCUGCCCUUGGGUUCGGAAUAACAGCUAGAAAUGGCUGCUAAUACCGGAUGAUGACGUAAGUCCAAAGAUUUAUCGCCCAAGGAUGAGCCCGCGUAGGAUUAGCUAGUUGGUGAGGUAAAAGCUCACCAAGGCGACGAUCCUUAGCUGGUCUGAGAGGAUGAUCAGCCACACUGGGACUGAGACACGGCCCAGACUCCUACGGGAGGCAGCAGUGGGGAAUAUUGGACAAUGGGCGAAAGCCUGAUCCAGCAAUGCCGCGUGAGUGAUGAAGGCCUUAGGGUUGUAAAGCUCUUUUACCCGGGAUGAUAAUGACAGUACCGGGAGAAUAAGCUCCGGCUAACUCCGUGCCAGCAGCCGCGGUAAUACGGAGGGAGCUAGCGUUAUUCGGAAUUACUGGGCGUAAAGCGCACGUAGGCGGCUUUGUAAGUUAGAGGUGAAAGCCUGGAGCUCAACUCCAGAAUUGCCUUUAAGACUGCAUCGCUUGAAUCCAGGAGAGGUGAGUGGAAUUCCGAGUGUAGAGGUGAAAUUCGUAGA